CGGGGCGUAGCGCAGUAAGGUAGCGCACCUGGUUCGGGACCAGGGGGUCGGCGGUUCGAGCCCGCCCGCCCCGACCA
rnacentral:tRNA from 1 species